rnacentral:lncRNA from 1 species
UUUAAAAAUGUAUAAUUCAAAAACAUAAAAACUUAUUAUUAUUAUUUUUUAAUUAUUUAUUUAAAUAAUUAUUUAUCAUAUAUAUAGAGAACAAUGAUAUAAUAGCCACGUAAUGAAGAAAAUAUUUUGAUAAUGUAAAGAUAAAUAAUGGUACAAUGAAAGUCGUAAACAUGAAAUUCCCCCUUAAUGCAAUGAAAUACAUGUUAAAAAAAAGUCCAAACAUUUUCAAAUCUUUCAUUUGUUUUCAUUUCUGCUUUCCCUCACUUGCAAUAAAUUGAUUUUAAAUUGAAAACCGAGAAGAGUUAAUAUGGUAUCAAAACGGAUUCACAGAUCCGGAAAUGAUAAUUUCAGUUUAUGAAUAAAAUGCAAAACU